rnacentral:rRNA from 1 species
CAGCAGCCACGGGAAUACGUAGGGUGCAAGCGUUAAUCGGAAUUACUGGGCGUAAAGCGUGCGCAGGCGGUUAUAUAAGACAGAUGUGAAAUCCCCGGGCUCAACCUGGGAACUGCAUUUGUGACUGUAUAGCUAGAGUACGGCAGAGGGGGAUGGAAUUCCGCGUGUAGCAGUGAAAUGCGUAGAGAUCUGGAGGAAUACCGAUGGCGAAGGCAGCCCCCUGGGCCAAUACUGACGCUCAUGCACGAAAGCGUGGGGAGCAAACAGGAUUAGAUACCCCUGUAGUCCCUGUCUCUUAUAC